CCUCCGCUCCCCCCGCGCGGGGGAGGCGGGAACGUGUCGUAUGGUACAAAUACACCCCCGGCGGAAACCCCUCCCCGUCCUGGGCUUGGGUUUCUGCUCCCCUUCCCCCGUCCUGGCCCGUGUUCUCAUCUCAGCCCCGCCUCAUUUUCACGGGCUCCUUCCAGUCAGCUUCCUUCCUGGGCGAGAAAGGAGAGGGAGGGUCACAGAUCAGCAGCAUGCCCCGCGGGGCACGACUCAUUUUGGCGUGGCAAAGGUGGAGAUACAGGUGACCGCCGCUUACUUCUUUUCUCCGGUCGCGGAGGAGCCAGCAGAGCCCACGGGCACGUUCGGGGCCCCCAGGGGGAAGCCCAGCGGCGGGGGAACCCACCCUCAUGUUUUGAUUAUCUGCCCAGUCUACUUGAGCCGCGUCUCAUUGUGGCAGUUCACAUGGGCAGAGUCUCUAAUCUCAUCCUCGAUGAGGAGAGGUCCGUGGCCUGAAGAGCUGACAACUUAAGGGCCACCAUCUGCCUGGCACCUCACUCAGACUACAUGCAUACUCAAUAAUAAUAAUAAUAAACAGCACUUAACACUUACAUGGCACUUUUGCCAUCCUCAAAUCACAUUCCAAAAGUAGCUAUGGAUUAUUAUCUUCAUUUUCAAGAUGGAAAACUGAGGCACAGUGAGAAGAAUCAUCUUUCCCAGGGUUGCAUAGCAAAUCAGCAGCAGAGCAGGCAAUCAAACAUAGAUAUUUUCGUUCCUCCAUCCAGCAGCCCUGCCUACUCGUACCAGUAAAGACUCCAGGAUCAGACUAAAAGGCCAUCAACUGGCGGCAGAACAUGGGAGAACCUACCUGAGAGAGGAAGACUCAGUUGUGCACAUGUGCAGUAGAGACAUAUGAGAUUAAUUUCACAUCACUCUCUGGUUAAGUGUCACUGGGAUAUUUCUCAUGCUCCUCCUGGCCAGGGUUGCCACAGAGACGCAACCAAUUGAUCAGAUGAGGAGCAAACUAUCCCCGGUCAGGAGCUGAACAGAAGUUGGUGCUUCUGACCCAGUUGCGUUGAAAUGAACAGAACCAAGAGUCCGGUUUGUACCUCUCCUUGAAUAAUGCCUCGUAACCAGCCGUCUUCCCCUGUUUCUGGCAGCUGUUUUCCAAGUGUGCUUCCAAAAUCAUUAGCUAGCAGCCGGGAGAAGGUAACGAAAAAUCUUUAACUGGAAUAAUGUAAACGGCAAGGCAUUAUCCAGACCUGCGUAAUUCUUAUUGCUUCCUGAUGGGUCGAAGCAGAUUCCCUCACUGGGAAUUAAUUCGGCAACAAUAUUUUACAGUCUCUCCUUUUAUGGGGAUGGAGAUAGAUAAAUUGUGCUCUGUGUGUUACUCUCUCCUGCAGAGGAAGGAGGAUAUUUGUGUAUGCAUGUUUCCAUGAGGCAUUUGUAUUCUCACUAGAGUGGGGUCAAAA